AUUUAACGCUGGCGGCAGGCCUAACACAUGCAAGUCUAACGAGUGGCGGACGGGUGAGUAAUGUCUGGGAAACUGCCUGAUGGAGGGGGAUAACUACUGGAAACGGUAGCUAAUUCCGCAUACCAUCAGAUGUGCCCAGAUGGGAUUAGCUAGUUUGUGGGGUAACGGCUCACCAGGGCGACGAUCCCUUCCUGGUCUGAGAGGAUGACCAGCCAAAAUGGAACUGAGAAACGGGCCAGACUCCGACGGGAGGCAGCAGUGGGGAAGAGUGCACAAUGGGCGCAAGCAUGAUGCAGCCAUGCCGCGUGUAUGAAGAAGGGCUUCGGGUUGUAAAGGAAUUUCAGUGGGGAGGCGUUACCCGCAGAAGGAGCACCGGCUAACUCCGUGCCAGCAGCAGCGGUAAUUC
rnacentral:rRNA from 1 species